rnacentral:sRNA from 1 species
GCAAUAUUAUAUUUUACAAUUCCUGUUG